UAAUCAAGAUUUUAUCUUACAGAUUCUACUGAUUCCUCUGAAUACCUUUAUCAAUAUCUUCAUGUUGUUAAUGCACAUUAGUGUCUCUAAGUGUAACCAUGACAUUGGUGUCUCACAGGGACUCCCCCGGUGCCUCCAGGACAAGAUCAGAGCCCUGCAGCCGAUCCGAUGUUGCCGGUUGUAUCUGAGAACAAUGAGGCUCAUGGAGAUGAGGAGAUGACAAAUAAUGGAGGCGUAAAGCCCCCUGAAGUUAAGACAGAUUCAUCACGUGAAGGGAACCCAACAGCAAAUGGCCCGGGGUCCACAGCUGAAGGAGAGCCCAACGAGCAUGACAGAGGGGAGGAAGAGCAACAACUGCCAAACACUG
ensembl:lncRNA